AACGGCAGCAUAGGAGCUUGCUCUGGUGGCGAGUGGCGAACGGGUGAGUAAUAUAUCGGAACGUACCCUAGAGUGGGGGAUAACGUAGCGAAAGUUACGCUAAUACCGCAUACGAUCUACGGAUGAAAGUGGGGGAUCGCAAGACCUCAUGCUCGUGGAGCGGCCGAUAUCUGAUUAGCUAGUUGGCGGGGUAAGAGCCCACCAAGGCAUCGAUCAGUAGCUGGUCUGAGAGGACGACCAGCCACACUGGAACUGAGACACGGUCCAGACUCCUACGGGAGGCAGCAGUGGGGAAUUUUGGACAAUGGGCGCAAGCCUGAUCCAGCAAUGCCGCGUGAGUGAAGAAGGCCUUCGGGUUGUAAAGCUCUUUUGUCAGGGAAGAAACGGUUUUGGCU
rnacentral:rRNA from 1 species